rnacentral:sRNA from 1 species
CAGUAUGUCUGCGAGGUUAGAAGAAGAAAAAAGUUUAAUAAUUUUUCUGGCCCAGAUAAAUUUAUAAGUUAUUGUUUGAGAGCCAAAUUCAAUGUCCGUCUGUCUGAAAAUUGUGAUAGUGACAAUAUCAAAUCUUUAAAGCAGAUGAUUUGUUAUUGCCACGAAAACAACCACCAAGAACCGUAAAACGACCAAGCACUUUUCCUUUUUUCAAUUUCUCGAAACUUUUAAUUUGCAAAAACCAAACCUGAAUAUAAAAAUAGAACCAAUGCUCAAUAUUUCGUUUUCCAAGAAUUUUGUUUUCAUGUUUACAACACACAUAUACGUGAAAGCACACAUAUCAAUGUUUGACAUUAGAAAAUUUGUCAAAUUAAAAAAAUUGUACUCAGCUGUUCGCAUGACCAUACCUUUCAGUUCUUCUACCAUGGGGUUGAUAUUCGGAGUUGUAGUGUGUAAUUUGCAAUAGACUGUAUUUUACAAAUAAUAUUUCAUUCACAGUUAUAAACUCCUUUCGCAUAUCCUAGCUAGGAUUUUUCUUACAAAGCGAAAAAUAUAACAAAUAAAUAACUCUGAGAGCACGGUCAAAUCGUGAGAAUCGUUCUAAGAUAUCCUCAGUUUUAUUUUCUGUUUGAAAAGAAAAUACUCUAUUUUCUUUAGACGGCUCUUUUAGUGCUAUUUGUUUGGGCCAAAGUUCUGUCGAUUUUACCAGCCAUUUUGGAUCGUGCCCCCAGAGCUCGCUUGACUGCUAUUCAACCGCUGUAGAUCUGCGCGUACCGAAUCAGCUGCGUUGUCACCAGUGGGAGCAUGCGUUCAAUAGUGGAAUCUGACUACAAAAAACUUCUGAAAUACAAAGGCCAAGAUUUUGGUGCACAGAUUUCAAAAGUCUCUCGACGAUUAGCGCGGCUCCAUAGAGUUCGAGUCUGGGUAAGCUCAUUGUCUUCAAGGGUGCUACCUCGUCUUCGAGGCAAGUAAAUUUGUAAAAACGAGAUUUUUAGGUGACACUAAUCGGAUGUAUAUAUAGGCGCAAUAUGCCUUCUCCGAGGCAUGGCAAAAUCCAUGAACCUGAAUUUUGCUCUCAGGGGAAUAUUGAACCCGUCGAGGUAUCUUAAUUUUUUCUAUUUCGGGAAAGUUUUAGAUAAAAAAUUCCAUGUUUCCAUAGCAUGUGGUUUGACUUCUUUAUCCCAAAUUGUUCCAUCAAUCCAGAGUUGUUGGAUAAGAAUUUUUGCAACAACUAUAAUCGGUGCCAACCAGCCCGCUGGAUCAAAUAAUUUUGCCACAAUAGACAAAAUUUUCCGUUUUGUUACAGGGGGGGAAGGAGGGAAAUCUAUAUUUGCAACUUUAUUGAAGAGUAUAUCAAACAUUGCGCUCCAGCGGAUAGAUAAAGUCUUUGUCUUGCUCUUAUCCUCCAAUUUAAGAAAGUCCUCAACUAAAAUGUCUUCCCGGAGGAAGAUUUUGCAAAAUAUGAGAAUGAUUUGAUGUGACCUUUUUUAGUGGAAAACCCGCAGAACUCAACAGAUCUAUUAACUCUAGCAGAUAUGAUCGACAUUCAGUCAGGGAAUGUCCUCCAGAGAGAAUAUCAUCUACAUAAAUCUGAUUCUGCAAAAUGGAAGAUGCUUUAGCAUGUCUAUCCUUUGCACCCUGGCUCAGUUGAAGUAGCGUCCUUAUCGCCAGAUAAGGUGCACAGUUUAUGCCGAAUGUAACCGUUUUCAAAUAAUAAUCUUGUGCUUCUCCAGUCGGUCACUCUGGUGCACAAUAAUUUGUCGGUACAUCUUUUGGAUGUCCCCAUUAAAAACAUACCUAUAGAACCGCCACCGAAGUAUUACGUUCAUGAGGUAAUUUUGGAGAGCAGGCCCAGUGUACAAAAUGUCAUUCAAAGACACUCCAGUAGAUGUCUUCUUGGAUGCAUUGAAAAUCACGCGUACCUUCGUAGACGUGCUUUCUGGUUUUGUCACAGCAUGUUGGGGUAGGUAAAAAGACAUAUACCGGGAGUUAUCAUAUAUUUCCGUGGGCGUAGUUAACUCUAAUGUGUCCAAGACGCAAAUAUUCGGAUAAUGAGUCAUUGUUCUGGGGAACACCUAAGGCUCUUUUCCAUUCUGAGAAACUGCCCCAUCGCCAAUCUUCUUGAAGAUCCGAGCAUGAUCUCCGAUGGAAGAUCAUCUCUAAAGGGCAGCCUUACCGAAUAUCUACCGUCAGCCAUCCGUUAUAAUGUCCUCGCACAAGAGACUUCCUCGAUCUCCCAAAAUCCCCUCAAAUCCUCGUUUAAAGAGGCAGGACAGAUAAUCAACGAAGCAAACGUAGACAAGGAAUGUACUUUGGUGAGCUACUUAUGACCCACCCGAAUUCAGUCUCCUGUGUCAUUAGGUUCCCGGAUACAUUCUUAUUCAGACCCUCCCUAAGUAUGAAGGGAAGAAUAUUACUGCCGAGCAACAUGUCAAUUUGGGCAAACGGUCGCUGCAGUCUAAACUCCGAUUUCCGGAAUUUAUUUUUAUUUUAUUCAUAAAACAGCAAUACAAAAAGCCUCCAGGGCCAAAAAAUCCAUAUUACCUAGAAAAAACCCUGAGUAUAAAUCUUAUGAAUUACUUAAACUAAAUAAAAAAGAAAAAAAAUUAAAAAUCUUCGAGGCUCCCCAGCCGUGUAACAUAAAAGUUGAAUCUACAGUAUAUAAUAAAAAAAAUAUCCUUGUAGUUGUAACCACAGAUACCAUACGUCAGAAUAUAAUAAUAAGAGAGUUAUGAGAAGUGCUCCAACAAUUUCAAACGAAACACAUAGAUAGACUGCGAAGAAAUUCUCAAUUCAUAAGGCAAUCUAUUCCAACAACAUGCAACUCUGACUAGAUACGAGCUGGCAUAUAAAGAGUUCGCGAUUCUUGUUAUAUGUAUUUGAGGGUUUCUUGUUGAUCUAGAGAAAAUAAAAGCUGUACAUAAUGCUGCUGGUAUCCCAGCCAUAACAACCUUAUAGAACGUGUAUAAGUUACGAAAUUUUAUAAAAUUGUUAAAAGAGCAUCCCAAGAAGCGUUUCACACAACUUGAAACAUGGUCCAAACGGCGGAUAUUAAGCACAAAACGUACAAUAGAAUUUACAACUCUUUUUUAGCUUGUUCAGAAUAGUUACCAAAGUCCCUGAUAUAAACUAGAGGCCAUAAAGAACUUGAGACAAUAAAAGAGAAUGUGCCAGCAAUCGCCCGACGCGAAAAGGUAAAUAGGCAUAAGUUGAAUAAAUUCAACGCAUUGCAGCCCAAACUUUGCCAGAGGGAACAAAUUGAGAUUUGCUAAAAAACGACCAGUUGGACCAAAGAGAACCGCCGUAGUUUUAGAGGCAUUGGCCUCGAAAUGAUUUAAAGAGCACCAACGAAGAAAUUGGUCCAAACAAUAAUUGACAUCACUCUAGAAAAUAUCACGACUAGAAGAACUUCCAGUAAAUAAAAGAAACACAUCGUCAGCGUAUAUAAAUGUUCGAGUUCGUCGUCGCAGGCAAAUCGUUAAUAAAAAGAAUAAAUAAUAAAGAACCAAGGACUGAUCCUUGUGGAACUCCCGAUUCAAGGUAGAGCAACUCAGAUACUUCACAAUUCACAGCCACAAACUGAGACUUCCCACUCAGUUUAAACACUGUUCUAGAAUAACUCACAGAGUUGAAAGCUUUUGAUAAAUCCAGGGAAAUUAGUGUGCUCAACUUGCCGUUGUUAAUGUUAUCACGGAUAUAAUCUGUAAUUUCAAGCAAAAAAAGGCGUAGUGUUAUAUCCAGAGCGAAAAGCAUAUUGAGAAGGAUAGAUCAAAUUACACGUAGACUCCAGAAUCUGAAACUUAAGGAGGUGCUCAAAAACUUUCGACAGAGCUGGCAAUAUGGAGAUUGGUCUAAGAUCAUGAGGCCCGUUAACGUUUUUCGAUUUGGGGAUAGGAACAAUACGAGCCUUUUACCAGGCCCUGGGGUAUGUAGACGUAAUAAAGAUGCAAUUUAUUAAGUCUAAGAUAUAUGAGGAAAAAUUAUUUUAAUAAAAUUAGCUGGAAUUUCGUCAACUCCUAUA